GUAGGUGAACCUGCGGAAGGAUCAUUAAUAGAGCAAAGGACAGACAGCGCCCCACAGGAGCUUGCUCCGUGGCGGGCUACCCUACUUCGGUAAGGUUUAGAGUCGUCGAACCUCUCGAAGAAGUUCGGUCCUGAACUCCACCCUUGAAUAAAUUACCUUUUGUUGCUUUGGCAGGCCGCCUCGUGCCGGCGGCUUCGGCUGUUGAGUGCCUGCCAGAGGACCAUAACUCUUGUUUUUAGUGAUGUCUGAGUACUAUAUAAUAGUUAAAACUUUCAACAACGGAUCUCUUGGUUCUG
rnacentral:misc_RNA from 1 species